rnacentral:rRNA from 1 species
AGAACUUAGCAGAGAUGCUUUGGUGCCUUCGGGAACUCUGAGACAGGUGCUGCAUGGCUGUCGUCAGCUCGUGUUGUGAAAUGUUGGGUUAAGUCCCGCAACGAGCGCAACCCUUAUCCUUUGUUGCCAGCGGUUAGGCCGGGAAACUCAAAGGAGACUGCCAGUGAUAAACUGGAGGAAGGUGGGGAUGACGUCAAGUCAUCAUGGCCCUUACGAGUAGGGCUACACACGUGCUACAAUGGCGCAUACAAAGAGAAGCGACCUCGCGAGAGCAAGCGGACCUCAUAAAGUGCGUCGUAGUCCGGAUUGGAGUCUGCAACUCGACUCCAUGAAGUCGGAAUCGCUAGUAAUCGUGGAUCAGAAUGCCACGGUGAAUACGUUCCCGGGCCUUGUACACACCGCCCGUCACACCAUGGGAGUGGGUUGCAAAAGAAGUAGGUAGCUUAACCUUCGGGAGGGCGCUUACCACUUUGUGAUUCAUGACUGGGGUGAAGUCGUAACAAGGUAAGCGUAGUGCU